GCCCAGAGCAUCUUGGCCAUCUGGGCCAGCCAAGUCGUGCUCAUGGGCUUAAUCGAAGGAUACAGAGUCGGAGGAGGUCCGCUCGGGGAAGGCCUUGACAAGGUCUACCCCGGCGGGGCCUUCGACCCGUUGGGCCUGGCCGACGACCCAGAGGCCUUUGCUGAGCUCAAGGUGAAGGAGCUCAAGAAUGGAAGAUUGGCUAUGUUUUCAAUGUUUGGCUUCUUUGUGCAAGCCAUUGUGACUGGAAAAGGCCCAAUUGAGAACCUGUAUGAUCAUGUGGCUGAUCCAGUAGCCAACAAUGCAUGGGCCUUUGCCACUAACUUUGUGCCUGGCAAAUGAGAAUCUGCGUAGAUGUGUUGUACACUUUGGAGACUGGGUUGUACCUUUCAUCAAAUGAGUGAAUAUGUUUUGUGGUCUAAAAUUCUUUUCUUUCUUCUGCAAAUUGAACUACUUUGUCAUUAUUCAACAACAUAUUAG
rnacentral:lncRNA from 1 species